UACGUAGGGGGCAAGCGUUGUCCGGAAUCAUUGGGCGUAAAGCGCGUGUAGGCGGCUGGGUAAGUCCGCUCUGAAAGCCCGGGGCUCAACCCCGGGAGGCGGGUGGAUACUGCUCAGCUCGAGUCCGGAAGAGGAGUGUGGAAUUCCUGGUGUAGCGGUGAAAUGCGCAGAUAUCAGGAGGAACACCAAUGGCGAAGGCAGCACUCUGGGACGGUACUGA
rnacentral:rRNA from 1 species